rnacentral:rRNA from 1 species
GAGAGUUUGAUCCUGGCUCAGAACGAACGCUGGCGGCAAGCUUAACACAUGCAAGUCGAACGGACAGUUAUUUAUAGCCUCGGCUAUGAGUAUCUGUUAGUGGCAGACGGGUGAGUAAUGCGUAGGAAUCUGCCUAGUAGUAUGGAAUAGCUAUUAGAAAUGAUAGGUAAUACUGUAUAAUCCCUGCGGGGGAAAGAUUUAUCGCUAUUAGAUGAGCCUACGUUAGAUUAGCUAGUUGGUAAGGUAAUGGCUUACCAAGGCAAUGAUCUAUAGCUGGUCUGAGAGGACGAUCAGCCACACUGGAACUGAGAUACGGUCCAGACUCCUACGGGAGGCAGCAGUGGGGAAUAUUGGACAAUGGG